UUAAUUUUGACAACAAAAAAGAAAAUAACUAGAAAUUACAAAUUUUGUAAAAUGAAAAUAAAAUGUCGGUUUUCUCAUAUUGUCAACAUAUUUUGUGAUUCUUCAAAGAUUUUAGGAGUUUUAGUCGAUUUUCUGGAGUCAUGGCCGUUCCAACAUAACAAACCGGAAUCUCUGGCAAAAAUUAGACAACCAAAAACAACUGGGACACAAUAUGGACUAAUGUUGGACAGACAAUAAUGUUGGAAGACAAUCUGUUAGGAAUCUGCGAAUGAUAUUUUUGUUUUGUAACAUGAUAAAUGUAUUGUAAGAAAUUAUGUGUCAUUAAAAAAAACAUGUCAUUUAUAAAUAA